rnacentral:rRNA from 1 species
AUACGGAGGAUGCAAGCGUUAUCCGGAUUUAUUGGGUUUAAAGGGUGCGUAGGCUGUUCGGAAAGUCAGGGGUGAAAGCCCGGCGCCUAACGCCGGAACUGCCUUUGAUACUUCCGAGCUGGAAUACGGAUGCCGUGGGAGGAAUGAGUAGUGUAGCGGUGAAAUGCAUAGAUAUUACUCAGAACACCGAUUGCGAAGGCAUCUCACGAAUCCGUCAUUGACGCUGAGGCACGAAAGCGUGGGGAUCAAACAGGAUUAGAUACCCUGGUAGUCCACGCAGUAAACGAUGAUGACUAACCGUCGGCGAUACCCAGUCGGUGGCCAAGCGAAAGCGAUAAGUCAUCCACCUGGGGAGUACGUUCGCAAGAAUGAAACUCAAAGGAAUUGACGGGG